rnacentral:piRNA from 1 species
UGGUUAUGUGGUGUGUUGACGUUAUUGC